rnacentral:rRNA from 1 species
AGCGGUGGAUGAUGUGGUUUAAUUCGAUGCAACGCGAAAGACCUUACCUACCUUUGACAUGUACGGAACUCGCCAGAGAUGGCUUGGUGCUCGAAAGAGAACCGUAACACAGGUGCUGCAUGGCUGUCGUCAGCUCGUGUCGUGAGAUGUUGGGUUAAGUCCCGCAACGAGCGCAACCCUUAUCAUUAGUUGCUACAUUUAGUUGGGCACUCUAAUGAGACUGCCGGUGACAAACCGGAGGAAGGUGGGGAUGACGUCAAGUCCUCAUGGCCCUUAUAGGUAGGGCUACACACGUCAUACAAUGGCUGGUACAAAGGGUUGCCAACCCGCGAGGGGGAGCUAAUCCCAUAAAGCCAGUCGUAGUCCGGAUCGUAGUCUGCAACUCGACUACGUGAAGUCGGAAUCGCUAGUAAUCGUGGAUCAGAAUGUCACGGUGAAUACGUUCCCGGGUCUUGUACACACCGCCCGUCACACCAUGGGAGCGGGUUCUGCCAGAAGUAGUUAGCCUAACCGCAAGGAGGGUGAUUACCACGGCAGGGUUCGUGACUGGGGUGAAGUCGUAACAAGGUAACC